rnacentral:rRNA from 1 species
GUACACUCCUGCGGGAGGCAGCAGUGGGGAAUAUUGCACAAUGGGCGCAAGCCUGAUGCAGCCAUGCCGCGUGUAUGAAGAAGGCCUUCGGGUUGUAAAGUACUUUCAGCGGGGAGGAAGGCGAUAAGGUUAAUAACCUUGUCGAUUGACGUUACCCGCAGAAGAAGCACCGGCUAACUCCGUGCCAGCAGCCGCGGUAAUACGGAGGGUGCAAGCGUUAAUCGGAAUUACUGGGCGUAAAGCGCACGCAGGCGGUCUGUCAAGUCGGAUGUGAAAUCCCCGGGCUCAACCUGGGAACUGCAUUCGAAACUGGCAGGCUAGAGUCUUGUAGAGGGGGGUAGAAUUCCAGGUGUAGCGGUGAAAUGCGUAGAGAUCUGGAGGAAUACCGGUGGCGAAGGCGGCCCCCUGGACAAAGACUGACGCUCAGGUGCGAAAGCGUGGGGAGCAAACAGGAUUAGAUACCCUUGUAGUCCCAUGA